AACGAACGCUGGCGGCAUGCCUAACACAUGCAAGUCGAACGAGACCCUCGGGUCUAGUGGCGCACGGGUGCGUAACGCGUGGGAACCUGCCCUUAGGUUCGGAAUAACUCCCCGAAAGGGGUGCUAAUACCGGAUAAUGUCUUCGGACCAAAGAUUUAUCGCCUUUGGAUGGGCCCGCGUUGGAUUAGCUAGUUGGUAGGGUAAAAGCCUACCAAGGCGACGAUCCAUAGCUGGUCUGAGAGGAUGAUCAGCCACACUGGGACUGAGACACGGCCCAGACUCCUACGGGAGGCAGCAGUGGGGAAUAUUGGACAAUGGGCGAAAGCCUGAUCCAGCAAUGCCGCGUGAGUGAUGAAGGCCCUAGGGUUGUAAAGCUCUUUUACCCGGGAUGAUAAUGACAGUACCGGGAGAAUAAGCUCCGGCUAACUCCGUG
rnacentral:rRNA from 1 species